UACGUAGGGUGCGAGCGUUAAUCGGAAUUACUGGGCGUAAAGCGUGCGUAGACGGUUAUUUAAGUCAGGUGUGAAAGCCCUGGGCUCAACCUGGGAAUUGCAUUUGAGACUGAAUAGCUAGGGUGCGGAAGAGGGAAGCGGAAUUUCCGGUGUAGCGGUGAAAUGCGUAGAUAUCGGAAGGAACACCAGUGGCGAAGGCGACUACCUGGCCUGUUCUUGACGCUGAGGCGCGAAAGCUAGGGGAGCAAACGGG
rnacentral:rRNA from 1 species